rnacentral:rRNA from 1 species
GUAAGUUCACGCCACGCUUUAGAACGGGCGAAACCGCGAAUGGCUCAGGAACCGGACCUAAUCCUCGGGACCGUAAUCCUCCUCUUUGGAGGCGAUGGAUAACUGUGGCAAUUCUAGAGCUAAUACAUGUGACACAAGCCGCGAUCGGUCGGCGCGCAGCCGUCGCCUUCGCCUUUACUGCGCGUGGGCACCCGCGUCGAUCGUUCCGGGUCGCGGCGCUACAUAUUAGACUGAGACCGAUGCGCGUUCUUCCGUCCUCCCGUUCGUCGUCGUCGUUAGCUCCUCGCUUCGGCGGGGCUGCGAGCGCGCGGCGGCGGGGCUACUAUGGGCGGCGCGCUCCGCUUUGGUGACUCUGGAUAACUCACUGGUCGAUCGCACCGGCUUUCAUGCCUGGCGACGGGUCUCUCGAGGGUCCGCCCUAUCAACUGUCGACGGUCGGUUAAGUGCCUACCGUGGUUACUACGGGUAACGGGGAAUCGGGGUUCGAUUCCGGAGAGGGAGCAUGCGAAACGGCUACCACAUCCAAGGAAGGCAGCAGGCGCGCAAAUUACCCACUCCCGGCACGGGGAGGUAGUGACGAAAAAUAACGACGCGGGACUCUGUCGAGGCCCCGCGAUCGGAAUGAGUACACUUCAAAUCCGUUAACGAGGACCAACCGGAGGGCAAGUCUGGUGCCACANNNNNNNNNNNNNNNNNNNNNNNNNNNNNNNNNNNNNNNNNNNNNNNNNNCCGGAAGUUAGCCGGUGUAANUGCCAUGACAUCCGCCUGGCGGUCCUGCCGGCGAAAAUCUUUGCGCGGAUGGCGUCUGGGGGGGCGUUCGGGGCGGUCAAGGGAUUGCGGGGUUAAAGGUGGGGGUGGCGUUGGAAUCAGGGGGGCGGGCGGUCGUCCUUCGCGGGGCUUCAGCUCUCUCUUCCCAAUCGUCCUAACCUUCCUCUCGUUCUCCCUCGUCUCGUUUUCGUCUCCCCCUCUCGUUGCCGAGUAAUGUUUCGUCGCGCGCGCGUGUUUGCGGUCGGGCGGUUUCUCCUCCAAGGGUGCUCUUAACCGAGUGUCCGCGGCGGCCGGUACGUUCACUUUGAAAAAAUUAGAGUGCUCAGAGCGGGCUGUUCAAGCUUGCAUACGAUAAGCAUGGAAUGAUGGAAGAGGGCCUCGUCUACGUCUGUCGGUCUCCGUCUACGGCGAGGCAAUGAUCGAAGGGAGCGGUCGGGGCCACUCGUAUUGCGACGUUAGAGGUGAAAUUCUUGGAUCGUCGCAAGACGAACUGCAGCGAUGGCGUGUGGCAAGCACGUUUUCCUCGAUCAAGAGCGAAAGUCGGAGGUUCGAAGACGAUCAGAUACCGUCGUAGUUCCGACCGUAAACGAUGCCGACCGGCGAUCCGCCGGCGUUCGCUUCCAUGACCCGGCGGGUAGCCUGCGGGAAACCAGAGUUCGGUUCCGGGGGGAGUAUGGUUGCAAAGCUGAAACUUAAAGGAAUUGACGGAAGGGCACCACCAGGAGUGGAGCCUGCGGCUUAAUUUGACUCAACACGGGAAAACUCACCCGGUCCGGACACCGGUAGGAUUGACAGAUCGAUAGCUCUUUCUCGAUUCGGUGGGUGGUGGUGCAUGGCCGUUCUUAGUUGGUGGAGCGAUCCGUCUGGUUGAUUCCGAUAACGAACGAGACUCCGGCCUGCUAACUAGUGCGCCGAUGUGUGUGCGUUUUUCGCUACGGCGGGCUCGGGCCGUGCGUGUUCGUCGCGCGUUGCCUCGUGCGUGCGUCUGCGUUCGUUUUUUCGUUCGUCGGCGGCGGCUGUGGGCGGGGGAAGUGGCGGUUCUCCGUCGCUUUUCUUUUUCCGCGGUCGUCUCGGCGGGCGGGAGCGGGCGUGGGCGUCGUCGAUGGCGCGUGCGGUCGUGCGUGCGGUUUCCGCCGGGUCCGGGUCGGUUUUCUCACGCACUUCUUAGAGGGACGGGUGGCAGAAAGCCACACGAGCGGACGAUAACAGGUCUGUGAUGCUGAUGCCCUUAGAUGUCCGGGGCCGCACGCGCGCUACACUGGAGGUAUCAGCGGGGACUUCGCCCCGGCCCGAGAGGGCUGGGAAACCUCUCAACCACCUCCCGUGAUAGGGAUCGGGGCCUGUAACCAACCCCGUGAACGAGGAAUUCCCGGUAGGCGCGGGUCAACAGCCCGCGUCGAUCACGUCCCUGCCCUUUGUACACACCGCCCGUCGCUACUACCGAUCGAACGGUCCGGUGAGGUCCUCGGAUCUGGCCGACGACGCCGCCGGGCUGCCUGGUGGCUCUGCUGCUUGUGUCGCCUCGGCGUUCGACGCCUGGAGAAGACGACCGAACCCGAUCGUUUAGAGGAAGUAAAAGUCGACA